AUUAAUUCCUUAUACUGUUCUAAACUGCUCUCUUUCAGUUUAAAGCUGAAUCCCCCUUGUUCUAUCGCUACAGGCUCUUGUCACAAGUCCCUCUCCA